rnacentral:lncRNA from 1 species
AUUUACUUUUUCUAUAUAUGUCUAUAUAAGGGCAUGUCGCACUAAAUACCAAAACUAUGAAUUUGUCUGUAGUAUGCAUAAUAUAAUUAGUCCAAUAAAAUAUGACAAAAAAAGAUCUUUAACACUUUUUUAUACAUGUCUGAAUCGAUCAUACAGAGAAAACUGUACAAGUAUACAUGUAAGUCUUAUGGAAUAAUAUAUGAUAUACAGGUGAUAUUCUCUUAACUUUUACUCAGUAGCAAAGCUGCCAUUUUCAGAGGAUGGGGCUAGUCAUGUAUAAUCUGACAAUUUUUUUUCUUCAAAUUUUUCUGUCCAGAAAGAGGAAAUCAGUUGAAAAAGGAAAAAUCACAUCCUUGAAAUUGUAAACUAAUAUUAAAAUUUAUUGAAAUAUCAUGCUUUUUUUCUCCUAGAAAACAACAGCAGCAACAGUAAUUGCAUGAAAUAGUACAAUUCUUUUCACCAAUCCAUUAAUAGUUACCUGGCAAAGGGAUUCCUAGAUAAGUGAUAAAUCAUUUGGGUCUAUUAAUCUACUGCAGUGUAUGUAUAUUGCUUGUCUCACUACAGGAGAUUAAUUCAUGCAGACUGAUAAGAUCUGGCAUGGGUUAUAUUUCGAAACUCAUAACAAGAGAUCAACCAAUGAAAAUAAAGUCAGUGAACUACUUCUGGGGGCUGUACAUGUACCACAAAAAGUAAUCCAUAGCUUUUUCUGUUUUAUAUCAGAGUAAUUAAUCUUCAAAAUUUAUGAGUAUGUGAUUGAAUGGAAUAAAAUCUUCCUCUAGUACAAAAAUAUUUUAACAUCAUAGAUGUAUCAUUACCUUCAUUAGCUGACUGUAAAUGGCACAUUUGCCCAAGGAUAUCAAAAUUUCAAAUCUACACAGGAAGUUCUUUGACAGAGAGCAGAAUAGAGUAAAUAUUUGGGAGAGUGUUUCCCUAAAUAUUUUACUAUAUGCAGCUUAUUUCAUCUUGGAAGUUAACAAUAAUUAACAGAAUGCACCAGGUAUAGCAUCAUAUGUGUAUAUAAAGUAUCAGCACACAUGAAUGAAUUGAGACAUGUUUAGUGACCCUAUGUAUUGUGUUCAAAGGCUCCAUCCAACCGUUCAAAGACACGUCAUAGCAGUGGAGCAAAUGGUGGCAAAUGAUGGCCUUGUGGUGGUUAGUGAAAAACUGGCAAUCUGCAUUGGUGGUGGCAAACAUUGACAGAAAAUUUCUGGACCAGCAGUGACAUUAAGUUGAAAAUAAUGACAUAUUUUACACUGUAUUGAAGAUGUAAUUGCGAAAAUUAUUUAAUAAAAAACGUUAUGGCUAUCAGUGGAAAACAUCGAUAUACUAUAAUAAGAGUGGAACUGACAUUUUAACACUAUUGUUUGAACUAUUAUAUAUCACCUAGUUCAAAAUUCAUAAGCAUUUUUGUUAUACUAUAGACUUGAAAAACAUAG